GACGUAGGAGGCGAGCGUUGUCCGGAUUCAUUGGGCGUAAAGAGCACGCAGGCGGUUUGGCAAGUCGGAUGUGAAAACCCGAAGCUCAACUUCGGGCCUGCAUCCGAAACUGCCCGACUAGAGGUAGGUAGGGGAGAUCGGAAUUCCUGGUGUAGCGGUGAAAUGCGCAGAUAUCAGGAGGAACACCGGUGGCGAAGGCGGGACUCUGGGCCGAUACUGACGCUGAGGAGCGAAAGCGUGGGGAGCGAACAGG
rnacentral:rRNA from 1 species